rnacentral:rRNA from 1 species
UACGUAGGGUGCAGGCGUUAAUCGGAAUUACUGGGCGUAAAGCGUGCGCAGGCGGUUUGCUAAGACAGAUGUGAAAUGCCCGGGCUCAACCUGGGAAUUGCAUUUGAGACUGCAUAGCUAGGGUGCGGAAGAGGGAAGCGGAAUUUCCGGUGUAGCGGUGAAAUGCGUAGAUAUCGGAAGGAACACCAGUGGCGAAAGCGGCUUCCUGGUCCAGCACCGACGUUCAGGCACGAAAGCGUGGGGAGCAAACAGG